UGUAGAAAUGCUGCUCUUCUGCACUGAGGUGAUAGGUGUGUCAGGCACAAGCGACGUUUUGGCUAAUCUCCCUAAAAAGAUACAUUAGCUAAAUCGUCGUCGGACAUAACUGAUACAUUAUUUCGUCUAAUGCGUUUCGCCUCUUUUGAGCUCCACACGGACUCUUUACCUGCGUGCAGCUAAAACCUGCUCAAACUUUGGUUAAUACUAUUUGGACCACGAACAAACUUUCUAUCUUUUUUUCUGUGGUAUAGACUGAAUCAUCAAUUGUAUUAUUUUUUUAACUUAGUGAUGUAGUAAAGUGUGAAAUUUGGGCUUUGUGACAAUCUUGGAUCCAGCGCAGUAGGCCUCCAAAAGUCCACUAUUGGUCAAGCUCCAAAAAUACUGGAUCCAACGCUUCCCAUAAUACAUUCAAUCUCCACCAUUCUUGUGAGAUCCACAGCUUGGUGUGCUUCCACAGUUGGCCACUAGAGGGAGAUGAAUGCAAGCAUGUUCUUCUGUAAAGGAAUCCUGGCCCACAAAGCCUUGGAAUUACAUCUAAGGUCACUUGACUUUUGAUUGAAGAGAUUUCAACCCAAACUGGAAGCUACAACUUCCUACAGUGAGAUCUCUCACAGCCCUUUACUGACAAGCACAGCGUUCCUGCGUGGUCGUGGGCCACAGGUCACCGUAGGUGAGGAUGACGGUGCUGGAGCCGGAGCUUGACCUGAACUAUUCCCCACUAAGCUGCAGUACAGCUCCUCCUGACUGCCCACACAGCUUGGAGACAACAUACUAUUCCUUCCCUGGCUGCCACCUCCACUGCUGGUCCGACGAUAGGAUGUAGUCUUCUCUGAACUGCAGGGUGGAGAAGUCACAUAAAAUAACUCUCAUCGAACAAGACGAACAGCGCUGUCUCACCUGACCGGCCCUAUGUGGUUCUGAGAAGAUGUUAACGUGGCACUAGUUUGAGACCCGGCACCAGUUUGGCCCUCCCAGGUCUGCUUCUGGCCCCUGAGCAGGCCUCCCUGUCCGUGUGGAGACCUAGGUGUCCUCCCCCCUUGGCCUUGGUUUUCUGUGUUGGGUGAAGAUGAGCCAUGUCUGGCCUGUGUCUGGGGACUGGAGGAGUGGGACGCUGGGUUCGAGCAGCGUCGUGGAGACCCAUUGGCACCAUUAACAGUACUCCAGCGGGCAAAUGAAGUUCCGCCACCUCCGCUUGAGGACGAAGGAGAACGGUUUUUGGAUUGCAGUGGAAAGCCCCUUUUGGCAGAGAGAAGAAGUCAGUGAUGAGAACAACUCCUUACCCUCUCAUCCAGAAACUGAAACUUGAAGAUGAAUCUAAAGAGGGACAAGACUCACCAGCUCGACACACUGUGUGUGCUGCAGCCUCCGUGCAGCAUCAAGGGCCGUCUCUCCUGCAGAGUUCACUAUAGGAGAUGUGAAAAAGGAAAUAAUUUUAAGUAUUUACUGAAUGCACUGGGUGAAACAGAAUAAAUAAAUUUAAAAGGUA